CCUACGGGAGGCAGCAGUGGGGAAUAUUGGGCAAUGGAGGAAACUCUGACCCAGCAACGCCGCGUGAAUGAUGAAGGUCUUCGGAUUGUAAAGUUCUUUUCUAAGGGAAGAAGAAAGUGACGGUACCGUAGGAAUAAGCCUCGGCUAACUACGGGCCAGCAGCCGCGGGAAUACGUAGGAGGCAAGCGUUAUCCGGAAUGAAUGGGCGUAAAGGGUGCGUAGGUGGUUUGACAAGUUGGUAGCGUAACUCCGGGGCUCAACCUCGGCACUACUACCAAAACUGUCGGACUUGAGUGCAGGAGGCGCAACUGGAAUUCCUAGUGUAGCGGUGUAAUGCGUAGAUAUUAGGCGGAACACCAGUGGCGAAGGCGAUUUGCUGGACUGUAACUGACACUGAGGCACGACAGCGUGGGGAGCAAACAGGAUUAGAUACCCCAGUAGUC
rnacentral:rRNA from 1 species